AUGGUUGAGACAAGAAAGAAAGAACAAUAUUAUAUCGUUUACAAACUUCUUAAGUUGGUUAUUCUUCCGGUAGCCACUGCUAGCGUUGAGAGGGUAUUUUCCUCGAUGAAAUACGUGAAGAAUUCACUAAGAAACAAAAUGGGUGAUGAAUAUUUGAACAAUUUGUUGGGAAUAUGCUCUAGAGGCAAUAACAAAUUGGUUAUUAUUAUAUUUCCUUGUUCAUGA
rnacentral:rRNA from 1 species